AGGGUGAAUUGGACAGCUUUACAGAUGCCUCAUGUUAGGAAAUUUUCCUGGAUUUGAGUUUUGAAUGUAGGAGCAGAGUUACCUGAAUAUAUGGAGUUGAUGGAGACAUUCCUUGAUGAGGAGCAGAAAUUCCCCAGGGACCUUGUAAAUCUGAAGCAGAUAAAGGGAAAUGAAGAAACCAAGUUUUACAACUUUGAUGAGUGGCAAAAUUUGUCAAUAAGAGCUAGAUAUUAAGUAAUUAGCUUUUAGGAAGCAAAGUGUAUUGGACUUGGCUAUGAUAUGAAGGAAUUCAUUUAAUAAAUCAAAACGAAAACAAAACCAACAAAAACAGAAGCGAAGCAUGAAUCUCCUAAUCAGCAGAAAAGGGAGGACAGCCGGAGACAAUCGUAUUCCUGAUCGAUACUGAUGUAAACUUGUGCUGGAACAAUGGGACCAUCUCGUUGCAGGAAAACAAGCUCAGGGCUCCCACUGAUUCUACAUUAUGUGCAGUUCAGGAAACCAGGCUGAAGAAUGUGAAAUACAUCGCCCAAAGUCAGACACGGAGGAACGACUGCUUCGGAGCUAGCAAGUUCCUGAGCUGGAAUUGCACCACUGGCCUGUAGAAUCCAAACUGUUUUCUACCAGAACAACUCCUUCCCUGCAGGAAGCAGGGUGUGCACAGCUGAACCCUGGUCUGAGAAGGUUGAAGUCACUGACUCAGCCCCAGCAAGGAAGUUGCCCUUCGACUUCUGACCUCUGGCCCUGUUUGAAAACCAACUCAAAUCGUUUUUCUUUUUCAGAAGCUGCUUGCCUCCGCUUCACCUUCCACCAUGAUUGUAAGUUUCCUGAGGCCUCCCAGUCAUGCUUGCCGUUAAAACUGUGGAACUAAAUUCCAGAAGGACUUGCCAUAUAGUGCAUCUCCGGAGAAAACUGUCAACAUAUAUUUUCUGACUAUAUUCAGCUGACUUGAUCCCUCUUCCCUCCAGAGAACUUGGAGAAGACUGAGAAGCACUUAGGCCUGUUCCAGAACUU